rnacentral:rRNA from 1 species
GACGUAGGGCGCGAGCGUUGUCCGGAUUUAUUGGGCGUAAAGAGCUCGUAGGCGGCUUGUCGCGUCGACCGUGAAAACCCGUGGCUCAACUACGGGCUGGCGGUCGAUACGGGCAGGCUAGAGUUCGGUAGGGGAGACUGGAAUUCCUGGUGUAGCGGUGAAAUGCGCAGAUAUCAGGAGGAACACCUAUGGCGAAGGCAGCU